UGGGCAACCUGCCCCAGACUCUGGGAUAACUCCGGGAAACCGGGGCUAAUACCGGAUACUCCGAUCGGACGACAUCGUCUGACCGGGAAAGCUCCGACGGUCUGGGAUGGGCCCGCGGCCUAUCAGCUAGUUGGUGAGGUAACGGCUCACCAAGGCGACGACGGGUAGCUGGUCUGAGAGGAUGGCCAGCCACAUUGGGACUGAGACACGGCCCAGACUCCUACGGGAG
rnacentral:rRNA from 1 species